UACGUAGGGGGCAAGCGUUGUCCGGAUUUAUUGGGCGUAAAGGGCGCGUAGGCGGUUUCUUAAGUUUAAAGUGACAGUGGGUGGCUUAACUACCCAAGGCCUUUGAAAACUGGGGAACUUGAGGACCAGAGAGGGACAUAGAAUUCCGGGUGGAGUGGUGAAAUGCGUAGAUAUCCGGAGGAAUACCAAAGGCGAAGGCAGUGUCCUGGAGGGUUAACUGACGCUGAGGCGCGAAAGCUAGGGGAGCGAACAGG
rnacentral:rRNA from 1 species